GUAGCAGUUACAAUGACUCAUGCAGGGUACUUCCGGCCUCUGGCCUACUUGCAGUGUCCUAUAUUCACACAAACAUAUACACCUGUUUGAAUCGGAGUUUACAUUUGAUGUAUUUACUGUGACAUAGCACUGGGUUAACACACAAAAAAUGUACACCCCUGGUUGGUUGACAGCUUAUAUCUGUGGAUAGAUUCUUUGUUUAAUAAAGCUGAAUGUACCAUUAAUAGCGGGAAGCAUUGCUAACUGUGACCUUGUCUGUUAAAUCCUAGUAUCAUAAUCAAAUGAUCUAGUUUAAUUUUAAUUAUUGGUUUGUCAAUCAACUAAUAACCAUCUAGUACAGCUACUGUGCAUUCAGAAAGUAUUCAGAGCCCCUUCACUUUGAUCAAUUUUGUUAUAUUGCAGCCUGAAACUACAUUAGUUUAAAAAAUUUUUUUUUCAAAUUAAUCUACUCUCAGUACCCCAUAAUGACAAAGUGAAACCACAAUUAAAUUAAGUCUGUAGAUAUAUUAAAAACAAAAAAUCUGAAAUAUCAAAUGAACAUUAGUAUUCAGACCCUUUGCAACACUUGACCUUUACAAAACCUUGAUUGGAGUCCACCUAUGGUAAAUAAAAAUAA